UGAAACCUGAACGAGACUACUUGGAGGCAGCCAUUAGAACAGUGGUACAGAUUCACAUGUGUGAGGAAGUGGAGGGUGACAUUUUGUUGUUUCUUACUGGGCAAGAGUCAGGAAAUUUAAGAAGCAUGCAAGAGACUGAAGAAGGAAAUUGAUAACCUGGGACCUAAAGUAGGCGAGUUCCACUGCAUCCCUCUGUAUUCAACUCUUCCUCCGCAACAGCAGCAGUGCAUCUUUGACGCUCCUCCAGCAAAACGCCCAAAUGGUGCCAUUGGGCGCAAGUGUGUGGUGUCCACCAACAUUGCUGAAUCUCUCUUACCAUUAAUGGUGUGGUGUUUGUUAUAGAUCCUGGAUUUUCCAAGCAGAAGGUGUACAAUCCCCGUAUCCGUGUAAAGUCACUGUUAGUUUCUGCUAUAU